AUCUUGCGCACUGGGCGAAAGCCUGACGCAGCCAUGCCGCGGGAAUGAUGAAGGUCUNNNGAUUGNACAAUUCUUUCACCGGGNGCGNCAAUGACGGUACCCGGAGAAGAAGCCCCGGCUAACUUCGUGCAAGCAGCCGCGGUAAUACGAAGGGGGCUAGCGUUGCUCGGAAUUACUGGGCGUAAAGGGCGCGUAGGCGGAUCGUUAAGUCAGAGGUGAAAUCCCAGGGCUCAACCCUGGAACUGCAUUUGAUACUGGCGAUCUUGAGUACGAGAGAGGUAUGUGGAAUUCCGAGUGUAGAGGUGAAAUUCGUAGAUAUUCGGAAGAACACCAGUGGCGAAGGCGACAUACUGGCUCAUUACUGACGCUGAGGCGCGAAAGCGUGGGGAGCAAACA
rnacentral:rRNA from 1 species